rnacentral:rRNA from 1 species
GUUGUAGUCUGGAGAAGUGCUUUCCGCGCUGGACCGUGUAUAAGUCUCUUGGAACAGAGCGUCAUAGAGGGUGAGAAUCCCGUCUUUGACACGGACUACCAGUGCUUUGUGAUGCGCUCUCAAAGAGUCGAGUUGUUUGGGAAUGCAGCUCAAAAUGGGUGGUGAAUUCCAUCUAAAGCUAAAUAUUGGCGAGAGACCGAUAGCGAACAAGUACCGUGAGGGAAAGAUGAAAAGCACUUUGGAAAGAGAGUUAAACAGUACGUGAAAUUGCUGAAAGGGAAACGCUUGAAGUCAGUCGCGUCUUCCGGAACUCAGCCUUCCUUUUGGUUGGUGCACUUUCCGGUAGACGGGCCAGCAUCGAUUUCGACCGUCGGAAAAGGGCUGGGGAAAUGUGGCACCUUUCGGGGUGUGUUAUAGUCCUCAGUCGCAUACGUCGGUUGGGAUCGAGGAUCGCAGCGCGCCGCAAGGCAGGGGUUCGCCCACUUUCGCGCUUAGGAUGCUGGCAUAAUGGCUUUAAACGACCCGUCUUGAAACACGGACCAAGGAGUCUAACAAACCUGCGAGUGUUGGGUGGAAAACCCGAGCGCGUAAUGAAAGUGAAAGUUGAGACCUCUGUCGUGGAGGGCAUCGACGCCCGGACCUGACGUUCUCUGACGGAUCCGCGGUAGAGCAUGUUUGUUGGGACCCGAAAGAUGGUGAACUAUGCCUGAAUAGGGUGAAGCCAGAGGAAACUCUGGUG